rnacentral:pre_miRNA from 1 species
AUAGGAAAUAACAUACAAAAAAUGGUAAGUCGAGCUCGACCGAUUUCACCGAAUCACUCGCACAUCGAUCGAGCUUGACUUAUUAUUUUCUGAGCGUUGCUUCCUACCAC